rnacentral:misc_RNA from 1 species
AUCCCCUCAAAAUUUUUGGGAGCAAAUCUUCCCUUCACGACUAACCUUUGCUGUCCAUCAAGUGAUCCACUAGUCCCCAACUCAGCAAGUAGGAAGGUCAUGACAUGGUCUGGCUGCCGAUGCAUUGUCUUGCAGAGAUCCAUGAAGUUUACAAAAACAGUUUUCUUUGUUCCCUCACGAAGAACUUGUGGAGGCCUCAUCACAGUUCUCCGCCU